AGAGCGAACGCUGGCGGCAGGCCUAACACAUGCAAGUCGAGCGCACCCUUCGGGGUGAGCGGCGGACGGGUGAGUAACACGUGGGAACGUGCCCUUCGGUUCGGAAUAACUCUGGGAAACUAGAGCUAAUACCGGAUACGCCCUAACGGGGAAAGGUUACGCCGAAGGAGCGGCCCGCGUCGGAUUAGCUAGUUGGUGGGGUAAAGGCCCACCAAGGCUACGAUCCGUAGCUGGUCUGAGAGGAUGAUCAGCCACACUGGGACUGAGACACGGCCCAGACUCCUACGGGAGGCAGCAGUGGGGAAUCUUGCGCAAUGGGCGAAAGCCUGACGCAGCCAUGCCGCGUGAAUGAUGAAGGUCUUAGGAUUGUAAAAUUCUUUCACCGGGGACAUAAUGACGGUACCCGGAGAAGAAGCCCGGCUAACUUCGUGCCAGCAGCCGC
rnacentral:rRNA from 1 species